AGUCGGCGCCCCUCCCGCUUCAGCCAUGCUCUCCGCCCUCGCCCGGCCUGCCAGCGCUGUUCUCCGCCGCAGCUUCAGCACCUCGGCCCAGAACAAUGCUAAAGUAGCUGUGCUAGGGGCCUCUGGAGGCAUCGGGCAGCCACUUUCACUUCUCCUGAAGAACAGCCCCUUGGUGAGCCGCCUGACCCUCUAUGAUAUCGCGCACACACCUGGAGUGGCUGCAGAUCUGAGCCACAUCGAGACCAAAGCCGCUGUGAAAGGCUACCUCGGACCUGAACAGCUGCCUGACUGCCUGAAAGGUUGUGAUGUGGUAGUUAUUCCGGCCGGAGUACCCAGAAAGCCAGGCAUGACCCGGGACGACCUGUUCAACACCAAUGCCACGAUUGUGGCCACCCUGACCUCUGCCUGUGCCCAGCACUGCCCGGAAGCCAUGAUCUGCGUCAUUGCCAAUCCGGUGAGUGUGGCAGCACCUAGCUCUUGCAGCUAUGGCAGGUGUUUAGGUGCUGACAGUGCGUGAAAAGCUCACGAUUUGCAGCAAAGGCUGCUGAUGU
rnacentral:sRNA from 1 species